ACGAAGUCGUAGGGUAACUUGCGACUGAGUGGCGGAAGGGUUAGUAAUACAUGGAUAACCUACCUUCGACCUGGGGACAACGACUGGAAACGGUCGUUAAUACCGAAUGAGGCUUAAUGGUGGAAUCAUCGUUAAAUCAAAGUAGGGGAUCUCGAAAGGGACCUGGCGGUGGAAGAGGGGUUCAUGGGAUAUCAGCUAGUUGGUGUGGUAAUGGCGCACCAAGG
rnacentral:rRNA from 1 species